rnacentral:sRNA from 1 species
UCAGCUCGUCUUCAAG